rnacentral:lncRNA from 1 species
UUUAUAUCAAUAUUGUAACACCCCAAAAAUUACCCAUGAAAACACAAGGGUAAAAUUGGAAUGAAACCUCACAUCAUUUAUUCUUAUUAAUAAAUCUGAAGAUAAACAAUCAUUAUUCAUACUCCAACUGAAUCCUUACAUAAAACAUAUGAAAUAAAGUCUCCAAAGUAAAGUCUCUAAUCCAAAAUAAAAAGUUUAGUCAAAUUUAAUCUUUAAAGCAACUCCAAAGAUCCACUAAGAAAAAUUGUUCAUCUAAGCACCCAAGCCACAUUUCUAAUCAAUCUGCAAAAUAUUAGAGACGAGGGGUGAGCCGUCAACUCGGUAAGCAAAUCUAUGCACAAUAUUUGAAAACCUUUGUCAUGUAUCGUUAAACAUUUUAUAACAACAUCUUCAUUUAGCAUAAGGGGUGGAUUCAUAUAAAAACAUUAAAACAUUUAUAAAAACAUUAAAGCGUAAACAUUGGUAGCUCAUGCCUCGUAGUCAUCAUCAUUCAUCAUUCAUCAUUUAGGGUGUUAUACCCCGCAUUGUUCCUCAUUCAGGGUACUAUACCCCACAUUGUUCGUAACAUCCUUGUGCGCAAUAUCAUCAUCAUACCAGCAAGCUGGCCAUAACAUCAUAUACAUUACUACGGACUAUGAGCCAAAACAUUUUUGAAUCCACCAUACAUUCUUUCAUAAAUAGCAGUUAAAGUCUUCUAAAACAUUUAAGAACCUUUCUUUGAUCAUUUAAUUCUUUUAGAAAAUUCUUUAAGAAAACAUUUUGUUUAAGAAAACUAAUUUCUUAAGAAAAAUUCAUUUUAAAAUAAUUUUAUAUAAAUUCAUUUAAAAGUGUUUUUAUUUUACAAAAUUCAUUUAAAUAUUUUAGAAAUCAGUUUUGUAAAAAUUUCCAUUUAAACAUAAUUUAUGUAAUGUAAAUUGCAUUUAUUAUAAAGCACAUCAUGCAUGAAUCUACUUACCUCGAUCUGUAGCAAUCAAUUCAAUACCUCAAGAACAACCAACGAGCUCACCCUCGUCCUAUAAUCAUCAUAAAAAUAUUCUUAUCAAUAUCAUCUCUAACCUUAAACAUAAUCUCAAUCAUCCUUAAAUCAUAGACACUAAUACUACCUUAAUACUUAUACAUAUUCUAAACAUAUCCUAUACUUAUGAGCAUCCUGCACAUGCUGAUUUUUAAUAACCUAUACACAUGUCGGAAAACCAUGAAAAUUUACAGAGGCACUGUGAACAUGCAUAGCAUUGCACACAAUAUUUCACAAAAAAUCAGCACAAGUCAAAAUCGAGUCAGAAUAUUGACCUUUCACCAAAGUAACAAAAACUGUCCAGCACUGACCAAAACAGACCUUUUCCACUUAGAAAACUCAUAAAAUAUUCUUUGGUACACGAAAUAAUAUGCUUCUUUUUUCUAAUUACAGAAGACACAUUCAAAAAGCAUAUAAUUAAAAUUCAUAAUUUUUGGACUCCUGAAACUAUUUUAAAACGUUUUAUUUCCGGGAAUAUCAAACCCGUCCAGAAAAUUCCAGAUUUAAAAACAGAAUUUCAAACAUUCGUAUCUUUUAUUUUACAUGCCCAAAAAUCGCGAUUCCAGUUUUUAAAGACAGAGGAAAGAUUGAAAUUUCAUUAUAAAAUCCUAACGUGGCCUGUAAUAUUCAUAAACUAGCCCAACUGUUACACGUUUCAGCUUCUGAAAUUCUGGAAAACAGUUUCCAGAUUUGCAGCAGCCAUAUGUUACGAAUUUUAGUAAUUCAACCAUAAAGAAUAAAACUACGAAAUUAAACAUGCAAGCAUAGGAGACAUAGAUCUGUUGGCACAAAAAUCGGAAUAAUUUUAAAGGAUGUGUAACCUUAUAGAAAAAUUUCCAGAGUUGAGAACCGCUGCUGAAAAUCGGAAUUUUCCAGCACCAGUAACCCAACUUCGAAAACCCAUAACAAUUUGCAUACUCAGACGAUUUCAACACAAAACCUAUCAAUGGAAAGCCUAGGAUGUCUAGUUCCAUGAUAUGUAAGAUAUUCACGUGAUUCUAAAUAAAGAAAACGAUUUCAAGCAAGGAAUAGAGACUGUUCAUAUCAUCACAACAUUACAAACACACAUAUAUUACCCAAAUCAUACUACAAGUAAUUAAAGGCAAACAAUUCCAUAAAAAUAAAUCAUAUAAGUCGAAGAAAUACUUAAUACCUUAAGGCAAACACUAAGAAAAGAAGUGAUAAAACUUUCUUUUCCUUCUCCAAAGACUUAUAUUUCCUUCUUUUCUUUCUAGGGUUUGUAACGGUGUAAAAAUAAAAG